UUACUUAUCAUAUCACAAUUUAUAAAUCCACAUAGGCUCCUCCUUAUUUCUGCCGUCAGCAGAAGAACAAGAGGCAAGAGAAAAUAAAAUAAAAUAAAAUAAAAUUCAGUCAGUUUAAUUCCACCACACACAAGAAAUUUUUAUCUUAAAAAUGGUCCUUGCCUAAUAUCAGUGAUGAGGAAAAUCAGGUUUCGAUUAUGCGUAAUUUGUUUUGUUUUCAGUUUACGAAAAUGAAAAUUCCUACUUAAUUGGUUAAAAUAAAUAAAUGACUACUAGAUUAAAUUUUCCACCUUAUGUUGUGCGUGAGCUGGGUAUAGCUUUUAUGAAGCAUCUAUUUGUAGAGUUCUAUUUGGUCAUUUGAUUUUAGAUAUGUAGAGUAGAUAGUUUUUUGAAGGUUGAUUUGGAGAUUCAUGUGGAAUUUUCCUUGCAGCGUCAAAUUUAAGGGCUUUGCUAGUAAAUAUCGUGAUGAUCCAGGAUAUCCGAUAUUCAGAACUCUAUUGGUUGUGAAUAAUGUUAUCCAUUUUGUCCUUAUGCAUAGUCAUCUUUUGUUGGGAUGGGCAGGCACUGAACUGGCUCCUAAUUCUUCAAUAACAGAAUAACAUUUGUAUUUAGGACUGAAAGACUGAGCAGAUUUACGGUAUACCAUUCUCCACCUCCCUUUUGGGGCACUAUUAGAGAACUCAUUUAGUGUGUCAACUAAAGGUUCCAUCUAUUACUUGUAUUAUUUUCUCAAGGUCUUAAUUUAGAACUUUUGAAGCUAUGUCGUUGCCUGUCAUCCAACGUGUUUCUGUUAAAUCACUUAUGUUAACUCCUCCUUGGUGGUGCUAUCUCAGACUAGUUCAGAAGCCUGGAAACUGAAGUCCCGUUGUUACCAUGACAAGUUGGAUCCAACUAGGAGGUUAUCCAACUGAAUUCUAUCAAAAAUGAAAGGUAUAGAUUCUUCGUGUGAAAAAAUAAGAGUUGACAGGUUAAGUCAACAGUAUGAAUAGCAUUCAUAAGGACAGGAUAAGUAAAGGCAUAUGCUCAAUGGAGUGCUCAACAGAAGGGUGCAUGUUGAACAGCAACAGUGACCCAAACAAAACUUUGGUCCAGGUAAAGUGAAUUAUGGAAUAUGGAGCAAGUACUGUCACCGGGCAUUUGGCAUCAAAAAGAGCAAAUUUCUGAGACAAGAAGUCUUGUAGCAGCCUCUUGAGUUAGAAGAGCUAGUUUCUCUUUUCCAUGUGGUAGGAGGUUCCACCAAGGUUCAGGUAUAUGUCAUCUUUUUCCCUUGCAAAGACACUUAUUGAAUCUUCUUUGCUGAUGUUUUACUAGUGUGGCUUAAUGAUUUUUGAGGCUAUGGACCAUUGAACCAAAUCCGUUGGAGCUUUCUCCACACACAUCUAAUAUUGCCAGUUGGUUUUCAUGAAGUGAAAAGGCAUUUGCAAAUGAGAUAUUUGGUCAAGUACUUCGAGAGUAGUAAAAAUUGUUUUCAGAAGCUAGAACAAAAACAAUUUUUGCUUUAAAAGUAUUUUUUUGUUGUUGUGAAAAAUGCACUUAGAGAUGCUUUUUAAAAAUGUAGCCAGAACACUAAUUGUUGCUCAAAAUUACUUUUUUCUUAUAUUGAACAGCAAAACACAAAAUCUUUGUUUUAUUUUCCCAAAGCAGGUGAUUCAGUAAAUUUGAAUUUGCUUGAGUUCCAAGGAUUCUUGAUACA